rnacentral:rRNA from 1 species
GCAAGUCGAGCGAACGGACGAGAAGCUUGCUUCUCUGAUGUUAGCGGCGGACGGGUGAGUAACACGUGGAUAACCUACCUAUAAGACUGGGAUAACUUCGGGAAACCGGAGCUAAUACCGGAUAAUAUUAUGAACCGCAUGGUUCAAAAGUGAAAGACGGUCUUGCUGUCACUUAUAGAUGGAUCCGCGCUGCAUUAGCUAGUUGGUAAGGUAACGGCUUACCAAGGCAACGAUGCAUAGCCGACCUGAGAGGGUGAUCGGCCACACUGGAACUGAGACACGGUCCAGACUCCUACGGGAGGCAGCAGUAGGGAAUCUUCCGCAAUGGGCGAAAGCCUGACGGAGCAACGCCGCGUGAGUGAUGAAGGUCUUCGGAUCGUAAAACUCUGUUAUUAGGGAAGAACAUAUGUGUAAGUAACUGUGCACAUCUUGACGGUACCUAAUCAGAAAGCCACGGCUAACUACGUGCCGGCAGCCGCGGUAAUACGUAGGUGGCAAGCGUUAUCCGGAAUUAUUGGGCGUAAAGCGCGCGUAGGCGGUUUUUUAAGUCUGAUGUGAAAGCCCACGGCUCAACCGUGGAGGGUCAUUGGAAACUGGAAAACUUGAGUGCAGAAGAGGAAAGUGGAAUUCCAUGUGUAGCGGUGAAAUGCGCAGAGAUAUGGAGGAACACCAGUGGCGAAG